AAAAGGAAGGGAAAGAGGAAGGGAAAGAGGAAGGAAGGAAGGAAGGAAGGGCAAUUGGUACUAAAUUCUUGUAGUGCCCAGGCACUCUUCCCCUAGUGGGCAGGGCAGAGAGACUGUGAAAGGUGGAGAUGAAGGAGAGCCAUCAUUUCACUCUUGAGAAAGGACGGAGCAGGCUGUGUGGAAGAGAUGAGAUCUGGGAUAAAUUGGAAAAGGUAUCAAAAAAUUAGGAGGGAAGAAAUAUUUUCAGCAAGUCUGCUACCACACUCCUCAAAUUCAACUAAGAGUGGUGAUUUAAUGUCAGAAAAGCUCCGCAUCCAGCCCUAUUAGCAGGGGCAGAAACAGACGCCAGGAGACACUGCCCACCUCCUGGGAAUCGGAAUCAGCCUUCACAGCACCAGGAGCCUGGGGUGGGCUGCUGUUUCUGUAAGGUUUUAAAAAGUCAGAGAGCACAGAGUUCUUCCGGAGCCUAUUCUGACUCCUCCUGAGUUUUGUUCACGUGAGAUAAUAUCCUCCUGGGAAAAAAUCUUGAUGGAAAGCCAAGGCCCCCCUGCUGGCUGCAAGAAACCGGAAUUCGGCCUUUUCGGCGCGCACCCGGACACGGCGCUGGGAUGAAGGCGCCCAGUUCAUGCCCAGCCAGGGCCUGCAGGGACAACGGGAUGGUCACAGGACGGCUGCCUCAGCUCCAAACAGCAACAUCUGAAGGAGAAAGCUGCAGGCCCGGACUGGAUGGCUUUGGCUAAGGAACCAACGCAGGUGGAGAAGGAGGCUGACGAUGGAGCCCAGGCACUCCAGCCUUGAAGGAGGAGAACCUGACCCUGAGCCUGCAUGGCAGCCGUGCGGGGGGACUUCGGGGGGUUUCCCCUUUGCUUCCAUCCAAAGAAAGUGCCCCACGUUUGAAAGCCUCUGUGCUGAAUGCUCCCAAUGCCCUCCGAUUCCAUCUAGGUCGUCCCUACCACCAAGGCAGGUGUGUGAAUUCACCCGCACAGCUCACCGUCCUGGGAGGGUGACGCUGGAGGAGGGACGUCCCUACCAUCAAGGCAGGUGUGUGAAUUCACCCGCACAGUUCACCGUCCUGGGAGGGUGACGCUGGAGGAGGGACGUCCCUACCAUCAAGGCAGGUGUGUGAAUUCACCCGCACAGUUCACCGUCCUGGGAGGGUGACGCUGGAGGAGGGACAUCCCUACCAUCAAGGCAGGUGUGUGAAUUCACUCGCACAGUUCACCGUCCUGGGAGGGUGACGCUGGAGUAGGGAUGUCCCUCCGGGGUCUCUUCAGCAUCUGCCCUUCUCCACCACAUAAGUUCGUCAGUGAGGGGGAGUCACGCAGCUGGGAGCAUGGAGUGCAGUGCGCAGGCCCCUUGCCCGGGGCCAGGCUCCCUCUGCCUCAUUGCCGCUAAGAGGCUGCCCUUUCUGGCCUGGACAUCUCCUGGGACUGUGGGCCCUCACAGCCCUGGGCAGUCUGGACAGGACGGACUGUGCUUCUCAUGGGGCAGCACUUCCUCCACUGCAGACGCUGCCACCUGCCCCCUCCCUCCCUGCUGGAAGCCUCUGGUCUCCAGGCCUCUCCUGGCUGUCUCUGGCCCUUGCCUCAUUCACACCCAGCUGUGAGCAUACCUGCUGGCUCAGCCCAGAGCCCCUGUCUUCUCAGCUUUGCACCCCAACUCCUGAAUUUGGUUUUCAGCUGGAUUUCCUUAGGCUCAGGACUUAGCCAGGACUUGUGGACUCUCCUGCAUAUUUCUAGUACAUGCACCUGCACAGGUUCGGGCCCUCUGACCACGAAGAGUGAAUGAGACUGGGAGGGGUCAUUACACAUUGCAAGCAAAGCCAUAAACACACACACCAGCCAGGUGCAAAAAGAGUUAAACUAAUUAGCUUAUUCCCUUGGGGAGAGUUUAAGCAGAAGUAGGAAAAUAACUGAAGUACCAAACUGUCAGACAAUGAAUGGGUCUGGAAUAAUGUGAAAAUUACUGCAACUGUCUGAGAGGCUAUGUAGUUGGUGUUGUUAUUAGUGGGGAGCUUUUUCCUCCACAGAGCAAGAUACUAAAUGGAUGUCAUUUCUGGGCACUUACAUAAUUGGCUAAGGCUGGUCUCAGCGGAAAACAGCCGCUGGCCCUGUCCACACACACACGCGGACCCACGGGGCCACUUGGAAGUCGGACGCUCCUGGCCUGACACUGCAUUGUCUCCAGAAUGAGAAACACAGCAGAGAGGGAAUGGUCAACCCCAGAGCACUGGCCACUUUGGGAAAAUGGACAUCUCCUCUCCUCUGGCUGAAGGAAAGUAAGAAGACACGGUGUUGCCCCAGGCUAUGUAGCCCACAACAAUUUUCCAUCCAAAUGCAUGAGCCCGGGUUCCCGAUGAAGACUUGGCUUCUCCUGAGCCCGGGGGUCCUGGCUGCUCUGGUGCCAACCCCUGGGUGUCUUUGAGCUGCAGAGGGCUUGCCACGUGCAUCCUCCUCCCUCUGCCUGAGCCACGAAGACCAGGCUGGACUAUGUUCCACAAAGACUUUUUCCCCUCAGGGGUCUCCUCCCAACAACACUUAACCAAGCUUUGUAUUCAACAAGGAACACAUUCCGCCUCCACCAAACCUCAUUGAAAACAGAGAGGUGCAUGGAUAACCAUGGCCAAAUCAUAACUGGUAUGCAUGCUCAUGGUUUUCUUUGAAAAUCUAACUGUCCUUUAAAAAUCUUUCCCACAUGAAGAGCCACAAUAAAUGACAAAUACAAAUUAUAAGUUUAUAAGGAAAGUAUGCUAGUAAGUGUAAGCAAAUUAAAAGGAUGUCCCAUAGGGUGGUAACAAC
rnacentral:lncRNA from 1 species